GGAAGCAAAGAUCAUGGGUUAUACCCGACCCGAAACUGCGUGAUGAAGUGAAAAUAUCACUGGCGAAUAAGAUCCUUUCGGCUUAUCAGCCAUUUUACCAGAAGCACGGUGAAAAGGUGGCGCGGAUGGAGAGUGGUGGCGGAGUGGAGUCAAUUGUCAGAUUUGCCCCUGACAAUGUGCAAAAUUACCUAUCCGAUUUAUUUCACGGUUCUACAGAAAACUCCAGUACGUCGUCG
rnacentral:misc_RNA from 1 species